rnacentral:rRNA from 1 species
GUCUACGGCCACGCUACCCUGAACAUGCCCAAUCUCAACUGAUCUCGGAAGCUAAGCAGGGUUGGGCCUGAUUAGUACUUGGAUGGGAGACCACCUAGGAAGACCAGGUGCUGCAGGCG